GUGCUGGCUUUGGCAGCACAUACCCUAAAAUUAGAGUGACGCAGAGAAGAUUAGCAUGGCCCCUGCACAAGGAUGACGCAUAAAUUCAUGAAGUGUUCCAUAAGAAA
ensembl:snRNA U6 U6 spliceosomal RNA